GACCACAGUAUCCCAGGCCACCCUGAGGGUCUGAGACAAGAAUAAGGGGUCGGGAGAAGUAAAUGGAUAUGAGAGAUACUAAGAAUGGGAAUCAAGCUAGUCCAUUGAGGGGAAAGGGGAAGAGGAGGUGUUUGGCUUGAGUGACCCAGUUGGAUGGUGGUGUCAAUCACUGAAUUAGAGAAUUGAGGAGUAGAAAGUACAGGAGUUCAUUUUGGGACAUGUUGGGUUCUGGGUGUCUGGGAGUCCUCCAAGAAGCAGAAGGGCAGUUAGGCAAUUCCAUGUGCAGAUACAGAGCUCAUGAGACAGCUCUGGGCUGAAGAUAAAAGCGAGGAGUGGGCUGAAGCCAUGGGAGUGGGUGGGAUGCCCAGAAGGUCAUGUGCAAUGAGGAGAGAGGAGAACUCAAGGCCAAAUCCUAGAGUAUUACUUAGAAUUCUCUAGUUACAAGGAGAGAAAACAAGCCCAAUAAAUGUAGGCAGUAGAUAACAAAAGAACAUAUUGGAAGCCUGAUGGGCAGGUCACAGAAUAGCUGAGUAACCAGGCUGUAGGGAGGACGGGAUUGAAGGGAGCUACAGGAUCUCCAGGCAGAAUUUGUGGCCUGCCGCCUUUGUUAUUUCUGGUUGCUAUAAUAAGAAUAUCAUAGAUCGGGUGGCUUAGACAACAAACAUUAGUUAUUCACAGCUCUGGAGGCUGGAAGUCCAGAUCGGAGUUCCAGCACGGUCAGGUUCUGGUGAGAGCACUUUUCCUGAGAAAGAGAAAAAGAAGACAUUAAAACUCUGAAUGAGUGAACAACUUGUCUAAUAUUUUGCAGCUAGUAAAAGGUGGAGCUGGAAUUUGACUCAGAUAAUCACUCUACAGCCAACCAAAUGAACCAUUUGCCCAGCUGCCUCGUUGGAGCAGAAAAGGAGUAAAUACCUAGAAAGCAGAGACCAGCUAUACUCAUUCUGUAUUCUUAGCACCUAGCCUGGUAGAUAAUAGGGACCCACUUGUUGAGUCAACAGUUAAGGUAUAACAUUUAAAAGUCUGUGUACACCCAAGGGAAGACCAGUGAAAUCCAUGUAAUGGAUACUUUAAACUGCAAACUCCUAAAAACAAUUUUCUUAAUUUCUGUUUAAUUGUUCUUUGGUUAUCUAAAGGAAUUAAGUGAUAUUUAGUUCAGAGCUGAAGUUUUAAGAAAAAUACUUCAUGAGAGUUUUUUUCUAAAUUGGCCCUUUAAUUUUCUGUGACGUGGCUUUAUCCCUUUAUGCAUGACAUGAAGCCAGAUUCCAUAUUUAAUUAAAAUUCAAUAUUUUUAUGAGACUA